UCUCAUUCUGCUGCCACCCGGAGUCCCAUUCACUGGUUUGUUUAACCUCAAAGUGGGAAAGUAACUAACACAAAUACAUUCAUUGUCCAUGCUCUAAUAGAAUUAAGAUUCCCAAUACCCUGCCUGCAUUUGAAUGAGGUUCGUUACACACUAGCUUUUAUGGUCACACCCUUUUCCCUUGAUGGUUCUUAAGAACGGCAGAAGCGGGAGACCAGAAAUUUUGUAAGCUCAUAAAUAUGAAGCACACUGUGUUUAAAUAAUGCCAGGGUGGUGAUACAAAUGGACUGAUGCCAGGAAGCUCAAAGUUAAAGCUAACAAUUCAUCCUUACACCACUAUGAAUAAGAAGGAAGGAGAAAGGGGCACUGUGCUUGUUGAGUUGUGCUGCCAGCUCUGGGACAGCUCUGUCUAAUGGGCCAGCAAGGCACAGAGCUUUGAAUUGCACACUGUUUACUCAGAAGACAGGAAAUGGAGCCAUUCUCCAGGAGGGCCAGCCCGAUAUUGGGUGAUUACAUAAUGUUGUUGAUUUCACACUGCACAUCACCGACUUGAGUGAUUGGAAUAAACCCGUAUCUAGGAUCCUGCCAUUCCCUGGCAGAGACCAGUACAGGGCAUGGGAAAUGGAAGCAGGCUCUUUGCGACCGGUGGGCAGGACCAGUACAGGUCCCUUUUAGGUGUUAGUUUUGGUGGCUCAGACGAUAAAGCAUCUGCCUGCAAUGCGGGAGUCGCAGGCUCCAUACCUGGGUCAGAGAGAUCCCCUGGAGAAGGAAAUGGCAACUCACUCCAGUACUCUUGCCUGGAAAAUCCCAUGGAUGGAGGAGCCUGGCAGGCUACAGUCUAUGGGGUCACGAAGAGUCCGACACGACUAAGCAACUUCACUUUCACUUUCUUUCCUCUCUAGUUCAGGGGUCCCCAGCCCCUGGGAUCUAAUGCCUGGUGAUCUAAGGUGGAGCUGAUGUAUCAGUAAUAAUAGAACCAAAGUGCACAAUAAAUGGAACGUGG
rnacentral:lncRNA from 1 species